UAUAAUGAAUGACCGAUUAGUGUUCAGUGAGUAAACAUGACACUAUGAAGAACAGAACGUGGCUACUUCGUGAAAAGGUGUAUAUCUUAGGUUCCCUCCUUUUAUCAACAAGAUGAUGGAGUAGUCUGCAGAGGGGUGACAGGCUGUCAUUUACAGAGCUCCUGAGUGAUUAGGGGACCAUUUCAAACACAGCAUUGGUCACCCCUCAAUGCAACCAACUCCUGCUGUUGCCCGACUGUGAUCCUUGGAGAAAAGUUUGCCUCUCAAACCAUCCUCAGUGUGCAUGGGUGCAAAGUACUGUUCCUCUUCCAGGCAGGUUCAUCACAGCUCUGAUGGUUUGAAACAUCUUAAUUACUGCACUAAUAAUGAAAACUGGUCUUUGCAGUGUUGAAAGUAUUUUGUUGGCAUUUCUCAUUAAAGAAAUUCAAUAAACCUUUACUUUAUUUCAUUGGUGUAUUUCCUAUUUUUUCCAUGUUGAUAGAUGACUCUUUGGCUUGCGUGUCACCUCAUAUUUGGACCCCAGUGACACAGGAAGUUAUGGAUGACAUCUUAAAAAGCUCCCAAAGACUGGUGCCUACAAAGUAAAGUAGGAAAAUGAAUAUACUAUAUUCAUAUGCAUAGUAACGCAGUUUUUCUCACAUCCAGUGGAUAAACUCAUAGACAUUUUUUCAUUGGCUAUUUGAUUGUCUUUCCAAGACUUCAGUUGUCUUACAGAAUCCAAUUCUUAUCCAAAACAUAUAGUAUUGCAGAAAUCUAGUAUAGCAUUCAUACUAUAAUGCUAUUACCCGCAGACCAUCAGAGGUGAUACAUAUACCAACAUAUACCAACAAUCUUACAUAAGGAGACACAUAAUUUCACACAGUUAGUAACAUAAAUACCCCACUC